CCCAACAUCCUAAAGGGGUCCUUCAGUCCCCCUCUGCUUCCGUCCACCUGGCCUGUGUUUUCCUGACCUCUGAGGGCUUAACGCAACCCAGCUUUGCUGGAUUAGAAUCAAGUGAUUCUGCCCAGCAGCCUCUCAUUUCCCUCAUGCCCCGCUCCUCCCUGUUUCUGCCUUGUGCCUCGGGGCCCGCGUCAAAGGCGUGGGGGUCUGUGCUUGCUGUGCUGUUUCCUCACCAGGUCGGUAGAUCGGAUCCUGCUCAUGCAUUGGUGCCAGGGUUAUCAUUCCCCAAGGGCAUGAACUUUUGCUUCCGUGUGGGGUCAGAUCUGCACGUAAAUGUUGUGGUCGUUUGCUGUUUUGUGAU
rnacentral:lncRNA from 1 species